rnacentral:lncRNA from 1 species
AUGGAUUCCUCCUGUAUCUGACAGCUUUACUGCCCUCCAGAUGAAUGAGCCCCGGCUACCUCUGGAGUAAUGUGGUGAUGAAACCCUUCAUCUGGUCUGUGCCUCUCAGCCACUCAGAGAUAAAUUGCACUGCCCCUCACCCAGCUGCCCCAGGUCAAAAUCAAUGUGAGGAAAAGUGAUGUGACAUGGGCAUUAUAGGCUUUUUAAAAAUACUGAUACAGAAGAAUUAUUGAUGACCCAUCCAUUGACCUCGAAGGAGA